rnacentral:rRNA from 1 species
GACGAGGCACUACGGUGCUGAAGCAACAAAUGCCCUGCUUCCAGGAAAAGCCUCUAAGCAUCAGGUAACAUCAAAUCGUACCCCAAACCGACACAGGUGGUCAGGUAGAGAAUACCAAGGCGCUUGAGAGAACUCGGGUGAAGGAACUAGGCAAAAUGGUGCCGUAACUUCGGGAGAAGGCACGCUGACACGUAGGUGAAGUGAUUUACUCACGGAGCUGAAGUCAGUCGAAGAUACCAGCUGGCUGCAACUGUUUAUUAAAAACACAGCACUGUGCAAACACGAAAGUGGACGUAUACGGUGUGACGCCUGCCCGGUGCCGGAAGGUUAAUUGAUGGGGUCAGCGCAAGCGAAGCUCCUGAUCGAAGCCCCGGUAAACGGCGGCCGUAACUAUAACGGUCCUAAGGUAGCGAAAUUCCUUGUCGGGUAAGUUCCGACCUGCACGAAUGGCGUAAUGAUGGCCAGGCUGUCUCCACCCGAGACUCAGUGAAAUUGAACUCGCUGUGAAGAUGCAGUGUACCCGCGGCAAGACGGAAAGACCCCGUGAACCUUUACUAUAGCUUGACACUGAACAUUGAGCCUUGAUGUGUAGGAUAGGUGGGAGGCUUUGAAGCGUGGACGCCAGUCUGCGUGGAGCCGACCUUGAAAUACCACCCUUUAAUGUUUGAUGUUCUAACGUGGACCCGUAAUCCGGGUUGCGGACAGUGUCUGGUGGGUAGUUUGACUGGGGCGGUCUCCUCCUAAAGAGUAACGGAGGAGCACGAAGGUUGGCUAAUCCUGGUCGGACAUCAGGAGGUUAGUGCAAUGGCAUAAGCCAGCUUGACUGCGAGCGUGACGGCGCGAGCAGGUGCGAAAGCAGGUCAUAGUGAUCCGGUGGUUCUGAAUGGAAGGGCCAUCGCUCAACGGAUAAAAGGUACUCCGGGGAUAACAGGCUGAUACCGCCCAAGAGUUCAUAUCGACGGCGGUGUUUGGCACCUCGAUGUCGGCUCAUCACAUCCUGGGGCUGAAGUAGGUCCCAAGGGUAUGGCUGUUCGCCAUUUAAAGUGGUACGCGAGCUGGGUUUAGAACGUCGUGAGACAGUUCGGUCCCUAUCUGCCGUGGGCGCUGGAGAACUGAGGGGGGCUGCUCCUAGUACGAGAGGACCGGAGUGGACGCAUCACUGGUGUUCGGGUUGUCAUGCCAAUGGCACUGCCCGGUAGCUAAAUGCGGAAGAGAUAAGUGCUGAAAGCAUCUAAGCACGAAACUUGCCCCGAGAUGAGUUCUCCCUGAGACUUUAAGUCUCCUGAAGGAACGUUGAAGACGACGACGUUGAUAGGCCGGGUGUGUAAGCGCAGCGAUGCGUUGAGCUAACCGGUACUAAUGAACCGUGAGGCUUAACCUUACAACGCCGAAG